rnacentral:rRNA from 1 species
UACGUAGGGACCAAGCGUUGUUCGGAUUUACUGGGCGUAAAGGGCGCGUAGGCGGCAAUUCAAGUCAGCUGUGAAAUCUCCGGGCUUAACUCGGAACGGUCAGCUGAUACUGCUUUGCUAGAGUGCAGAAGGGGCAAUCGGAAUUCUUGGUGUAGCGGUGAAAUGCGUAGAUAUCUGGAGGAAUACCGGUGGCGAAGGCGGCAUCCUGGACCGGCAUUGACGCUGAGGAGCGAAAGCCAGGGGAGCAAACGGG